AGAUUGAACGCUGGCGGCAGGCCUAACACAUGCAAGUCGAGCGGCAGCACGGGUACUUGUACCUGGUGGCGAGCGGCGGACGGGUGAGUAAUGCCUAGGAAUCUGCCUGGUAGUGGGGGAUAACGCUCGGAAACGGACGCUAAUACCGCAUACGUCCUACGGGAGAAAGCAGGGGACCUUCGGGCCUUGCGCUAUCAGAUGAGCCUAGGUCGGAUUAGCUAGUUGGUGAGGUAAUGGCUCACCAAGGCGACGAUCCGUAACUGGUCUGAGAGGAUGAUCAGUCACACUGGAACUGAGACACGGUCAGACU
rnacentral:rRNA from 1 species